rnacentral:rRNA from 1 species
GUGUCCUACGGGACGCAGCAGUAGGGAAUCUUCCACAAUGGGCGAAAGCCUGAUGGAGCAACGCCGCGUGGGUGAAGAAGGUCUUCGGAUCGUAAAACCCUGUUGUUAGAGAAGAAAGUGCGUGAGAGUAACUGUUCACGUUUCGACGGUAUCUAACCAGAAAGCCACGGCUAACUACGUGCCAGCAGCCGCGGGAAUACGUAGGUGGCAAGCGUUAUCCGGUUUUAUUGGGCGUAAAGAGAACGCAGGCGGUCUUUUAAGUCUGAUGUGAAAGCCUUCGGCUUAAACGGAGGAGUGCAUUGGGA